CUUACUGCGUGUCACCGUUUGAUCUUUUUCGUUUUAUGUUUAUUUGAUUGAUUUCUUCAUUUGUUCUUCUUCGAUUUUCAAGGAGUGAGUUUAGUUACAACUAACCGAAAGACAUGAACGGAGAAGAUCUGAUUGCAUCUGUUAAGAACCGUUAAAGUUGAUAUGGGUCAACCUGUACUUAGAGCAUUGGAUGUACCUACCAAAUUACCAGCCAACAAGGACCAAGCUGUGGUGAAGGCAGGACUUGAAAUUGU